rnacentral:rRNA from 1 species
CCUACGGGUGGCAGCAGUGAGGAAUAUUGGUCAAUGGGCGCAAGCCUGAACCAGCCAAGUAGCGUGAAGGAUGACUGCCCUACGGGUUGUAAACUUCUUUUAUAAAGGAAUAAAGUGAGGCACGUUUGCCGUGUUGUAUGUACUUUAUGAAUAAGGAUCGGCUAACUCCGUGCCAGCAGCCGCGGUAAUACGGAGGAUCCGAGCGUUAUCCGGAUUUAUUGGGUUUAAAGGGAGCGUAGAUGGGUUGUUAAGUCAGUUGUGAAAGUUUGGGGCUCAACCGUAAAAUUGCAAUUGAUACUGGCAGUCUUGAGUACAGUUGAGGUAGGCGGAAUUCGUGGUGUAGCGGUGAAAUGCGUAGAUAUUAGGAGGAACACCAGUGGCGAAGGCGGCUUACUGGACUGUAACUGACGUUGAGGCUCGAAAGCGUGGGGAGCAAACAGGAUUAGAUACCCCGGUAGUC